CACAUGCAGUCGAGCGGCAGCACGGGUACUUGUACCUGGUGGCGAGCGGCGGACGGGUGAGUAAUGCCUAGGAAUCUGCCUAGUAGUGGGGGAUAACGUCCGGAAACGGGCGCUAAUACCGCAUACGUCCUACGGGAGAAAGUGGGGGAUCUUCGGACCUCACGCUAUUAGAUGAGCCUAGGUCGGAUUAGCUAGUUGGUGAGGUAAUGGCUCACCAAGGCUACGAUCCGUAACUGGUCUGAGAGGAUGAUCAGUCACACUGGAACUGAGACACGGUCCAGACUCCUACGGGAGGCAGCAGUGGGGAAUAUUGGACAAUGGGCGAAAGCCUGAUCCAGCCAUGCCGCGUGUGUGAAGAAGGUCUUCGGAUUGUAAAGCACUUUAAGUUGGGAGGAAGGGCAGUUACCUAAUACGUGAUUGUUUUGACGUUACCGACAGAAUAAGCACCGGCUAACUCUGUGCCAGCAGCCGCGGUAAUACAGAGGGUGCAAGCGUUAAUCGGAAUUACUGGGCGUAAAGCGCGCGUAGGUGGUUUGUUAAGUUGAAUGUGAAAGCCCCGGGCUCAACCUGGGAACUGCAUCCCAAACUGGCAAGCUAGAGUAUGGUAGAGGGGUUGGGUGGAAUUUCCUGUGUAGCGGUGAAAUGCGUAGAUAUUAGGAA
rnacentral:rRNA from 1 species